rnacentral:piRNA from 1 species
GGCUUCUUUACAGUGCUGCCUU